UAUUUUAUUAAUUAAUUUUGGGGUAUGUUAAAAAUUUUGUUUGCAUGUAUUUAUUUAGUUAUUUUUAUGAGACAGGGUCUCGCUCUGUCACCCAUGCUGGAGUACAUACGGUUGCACGCUCAUGGCUCACUGCAGCCUUGACUUCCCAGGCUCAAGUGAUCCUCCCACCUCAGCCUCCUGAGUAGCUGGGACUACAAGUGCAUGUCACCACAUUUGGCUAAUUUUCAUAUUUUUUGUAGAGACGGGGUUUCGCCACAUUGCCCAGGCUGGUCUCAAACUCCUGGACUCAAGGGAUCUGCCUGCCUCAGCCUCCCGAAGUGCUGAGAUUAUAGGUGUGAACCACCGGGCCCGGCUCCCCAUUUAAUUUUGUUGUUGUUGUUUUUUAGAUGGAGUUUCACUCUUGUCGCCCAAGCUGGAAUGCAAUGGCACGAUCUUGGCUUACGGCCACUUCCACCUCCUGGGUUCAAGCGAUUCUCCUGUCUCAGCCUCCCGAGUAGCUGGGAUUACAGACACACGCCACUAUACCUGGCUAAUUUUUGUAUUUUUAGUAGAAAUGGGGUUUCACCAUGUUGGUCAGGUGGGUCUCAAACUAUUGACCUCAGGUGAUCCACCUGCCUCGGCCUCCCAAAGUGCUGGGAUUAUAGAUGUGAGCCACCAUGUCCAGCCACCCAUUUAAUUUUUUGAGCACAAAAUAUGUACUGAGAGCCACGCAAGAAACAAAUUCGACUUAUUCCAUGCUCUUGAGAGGUCAUGAGGGGAAACAAAAUGAUACAUAAGUAACUCUGAGAGAAUAUGCUGCACAUGCUAAAUCCUGUGCAAGUAAGAUAUAGGAUUUUAGAGGAAGGGAGAAUGACUUCUGAUUGAGCUGACUAGAGAAGGCUUCAGUUUUUGAGUUAGGUGUUACGAGAUUGGGAGACUUUUCUCAGCAUAUCUAACAGAAGAGGGUAUCCGAGGUUCUUUAUACUUGACUCCACACUGGGCUUAUUAAGUGAAUGACAAGGAGUUUGAUUUGUCGAGGGCCGAGGAUAUGUAGUGAAAGGUCAUAGACUAUAAGGCUGGCAAAGAAUGGUGGAGCUGGGGAACGGAAGAUCUAAAUGCCAAGGUAAGCUUGGACAUUAUUUAAUAGAGGCAAUGGGGAGAUACUGAGGAUUUCUGAAGAGGGUUUCUAAGUAGUGCUUUAAAAAGAUCUCUGGGUUGCAGAGGCAAGAAAUAGGAGGAACACCAAUUACAAAGCCCCGACCGAAAGCCGAGUGAGAUUUGAGGGUCAGCCAUGGAAAUGGGAAUGAAGGGACAGAUGUGAGACAUUUCAAAGGAUAGACUGCAGGAAUUCUGGCAAAGAAUGGGUUGGACAGUGAUGAAGAACACAGAAACAGCAUUGAUGCCUACAUCUGGAGCCUGUGUCUUAAUAAUUUUUGAUCAGGGAGACCUACAAUACAUUUUGUAUUGUGCCCCACAAAAUCAUGUCGACAGCCCUAGAUGAUGUCAUGGACAGGUAUGGGGCAUGAGGAGAAAGAGUUGCCAGGGAAAGGCUGGCUCACAUUUUAGACAUGUGGAGCGUUAAGGGUCAGCAAGACAUCAAGGGCGAUGUCAGGCAGGUAACUGGAAAUGCAAACUGGUAGUCUCAGAGUGACGCUGAGUCCAGUGGUGGGGCUUUGGAAAGAACAUGUAUCUCU
rnacentral:lncRNA from 1 species